rnacentral:rRNA from 1 species
GACGAACGCUGGCGGCGCGCUUAACACAUGCAAGUCGAGCGAAGCGGCGGACGGGUGAGUAACACGUGAGUAACCUGCCUUAGACAUUGGGAUAGCCUCGGGAAACCGGGAUUAAUACCAAAUGGUCUAAGAUGGACUCGCGUCCCAUUAGUUAGUUGGUGAGGUAACGGCCCACCAAGGCGACGAUGGGUAGCCGGCCUGAGAGGGUGAGCGGACACAUUUGAGCUGGGAAGCGGUCCAAACUCUACGGGAGGCAGCAGUGGGGGAUAGUGCACAAUGGAGGGAGCUCUGAUGCUGUGACGCCGCGUGAACGAAGGAGGCUUUCGAGUCGUAAAGUUCUUUUAUAUGGGAAGCGGUACCAAAAGAGAAAGCCCCGGCUAACUACGUGCCAGCAGCCGCGGUAAUAC